UCAGCGGGGCCGGUCCGCCUUAUAGUCUUAUGGCUCACAACAGCCGCAGUCUUCAUCCUGCCGACUUUGUCGUAGGAGCCAAUUUUACAAUGCAGUCAGUUGUAUAAUUUUCGGCGAACGCUCGCGUAUAUGAACAACAAAAUUGUCUUGAUAUGUUUCAUCAAAAUGCGCAUGUACAAAAUCACAAGUAGACGGCUUAAUUUUUUCCUAUUACCAUGUAUUAAAUAUUUUAUUAAUUCUUACACUGGUUAGAUUCCAUUAAAGCGUGUUUAAUUUUAACAUCUCAUUUGUGCACAAGACAAUGUAAAUCAAGAAUUUGGGUCGACCCGGAAUGUCCAUCGGACCAACAAGGCCACUGACUAUUUUUUAUAUGGGUCGAUCCGUGGCUUCUCAAAUUGGCCUUGGGGCCAUGAGGGCCGGGUCCAAGGCCAGGGCCGGGUCGGCCCAUUCCCAUCCUGAAAAUCCAGUCGCUGACUGCCCCUCCCCUCCCGAGUUGCGCCGCUCCCUUCAGCGCCCUAAGAGAUCAGCAACACCCACUAAAAUCCACCAGAUCGAGGUCGCACCCCUCAUGCCCUUCCUCCUCUGACUACACCACCGUCGUCUCUACCACGACGAGGAGGAGACCUGCACGAGGAGGUGACCACUCAAUACAACGGUCGGCGUCGGCAGAGUAGCUUGAGGAGGCUCGGCAUCAGCACCUCACCAGGACUCCAGAGUAGCUUGAGGAGGCUGGCCUCGACGUUUUGGUCCAGCUGGUUGACCGUACCUCCGGUUCCUUCUCCGGCAACCACAAACGACCGUGUUUCUUGCGGUUUGCUGAUGACAUCUCAUAACACAAGCUAGGGGAUGAAAAGCACGUGAAGAUGCGGACGUCUUAUAGUUGUGACCAGCAUCUGUUUGUGUUCAACUUUCUGUAGAUUUACAUCUGAUAAUUAAUUUUGCUCUGCCUUUCCAAUCUUGCUGGAAUUUUGUUGCUUAACACACUAGCAGCUGUUUUAUGUCAAUAAUGUUUAUUAUUCAGUGUAAGCUAAUGUAGCUAUUGUGCCAUCUUAAAGAUUGUUGAGUUAUUA